UCUUACGGAUGAGCAAAGAAGGUAGUUUCUUAAGAUGGAGUCAACUCCCAGUGAAGAUACUGUGAA
rnacentral:pre_miRNA from 1 species